AAGUAGGAGUUAAAGCCCCUACUAAGAGCCCAACAGGAAAAAAAAGCCCUGCAGCGCUGACUGGGAAACCCCUAGUGGAAGGUGGGAGAGGGAGGGAGGUUAAAAACCAGCAGUUCUAAAAAGCCAGUUAGUGUGUGUGUGUGUAGUUGGUAAGAACAGCCUGCUUGAGAAGAGACUGGGAUAACUGGGAAGGGUUAUGGGACACACAUACAAAAUGGGACUAACUGUAAAAAUUGCGGAGAAAAGCAGUUCAUGAGAAGAUCCUUAUGGAGGCUGCGUAUGCCUCAUGUUUUGAGGAAAGAUGCCUAUGAAAUGUAACAGCUUUGUAACCAAGUAAGCCAGGGACUCUACUUUUCAGUAGUGAACCAGGAUGAUGUCAGAACUUUUUUUUUUUAAAGCAUUUGUUUUGUUCAAAUCAAUCUGUGAGUAACUUGGUCAAGCCUCCCGCCACCCACCGCCAUGCCUAUAAUACAAGUGGAAGUUAAAGUAUAUAAAAGUCCUGGUAGUGUCUCUUUAAAGUGCUAGCAAAAUAAAGGAAGGAGGGUCAUAGGUGAGGAAGGAAUAAAUCAUUUGGAGCAGAGAAAGUAAAGCAGGUGGUGGAAGUGGAAGAAGGGAAAUGGAAGGGGAAAAACUCAGAGGCCACCUAAGCUCCUCACAACUUGGCCCAGUCAUGUCAAUGGGGUUUAUCUCAGUUGUGACUAAGGCCUGUCUGAUGACUUUUUAGUAGGAUUCAGUUGUGAUGAACUUUGGCCAACUGUGCCCUGGCUUUUUAGUUGGGCUAUAUUCUUUCUGCUCUCCUUUCUUUCAUUUCAUUUUCUACCACAGCUUCCAGUCCAAAGACUUGCUCCCUUUCUCUGGCUUUCUCCCUUCCCUUAUUUGUUUGUUAUUUCUCCAUGUAAACCGCCCUGAGCCAUAUUUGGAAGGGCGGUAUAGAAAUUGAAUUAUUAUUAAUAAUAAUAAUAAUAAUAAUAAUAAUAAUAAUAAUAAUAAUGAUGUUUAAUUAAUUCUUAAAUGGAGCCAUGCAUUUAUGAGGCCCCUUACAAAAUAGGAGAGAUCUCCUUUUUCCUCUUCAUUCCAUGAAUAGUGAAAAAAUACUAUAAAAUUACACUUCAUAGGUAUUGUUCCUCAUACACUUGAGGCAUACAACACUGCAUGAAGGGGGGGAGAGCGAGAAUGAGCAAGCACAGCAAUAGCUGCUAAAGGCAUUAGCUUGGCCUUGAAUUAAGAGCUGGUUCUUGUUCAUGGUGAUAGGAUAUUAAUGCUGCUGCCCCCUUUGUUGUUAUAGAUGGGCCCACAUCCCAGAUGAUUCUAAUAGAUAUUCAGCAAGAGGCCUUAUGCCUUCCAUGUGUAUUUGCUGGAUACCUGUCCUUAAGUGAAUGAAGCUCCUCCCCCAGUAGCCUGGAAAGCACUUCAAGAGGGGCUGCAGAAGAGGAUGAGUCUGGCUGGAUGAUGUCAGGGGCCUCUAGGGGUUCUCCCCUUGGAUUAUGCUAUCCAAGCAGGGCUAGCUACUAGCUAGUUUUGGGAAGCCCCAAGCUAUGUGGCCCCUCCCAUCAUUAAAUAUUAACAUCAUUAUCAUAUUCAACUAUGAAUGUCCAUGUCUUGUUUUUGUCCAAACAUACUAGAAGAAAUCAUGCAAACCAGGGAUUCUCAACCUGUGGUACUCCAGACAUUAAAGGGGCAGAGGAGGAGACAACUGGAAGCCGAUCACCUGCUGCAGCCACUAAGCAGCCUGAAAGCUGCUGUCUCCCCUGCGGCUGGAGCCUGGGACCAACACCCAAGCCUCUCAGGAAAAAACCCUUUAUUUGAUGGUUCAUCACCUAUGGCUGAAUGGGGGUCUGGACAGGGCUUCUUCUCACUGAGGAAGAACUGUCUUUUCAGCAUGCCCAGGGACACAGUUCUUCCUCAGAUAUCUUCAAAAACCAUUGUGGGGAAGAAGACGUUGACCCCAAUGGGAGGUCUUCUGCCAAAGUAACUGUCAUCUUCAUGGCAUGAUCCAUCUGCUUAGCAGAGAACAGACCCAUUUCCAGCAUUGGGACCCCCACACCCCAGCCAGAGUCAGACCCUUGCUCCUGGAGAAAUCUACUGCCAGCUUCCAGUUCUGUGGCCAAACCAUCGCCACCAUGCUACCUCCCAAAGCCAUGCCCUCAGGAAGAGCAAACAUCUGAUCCUUCCCAAAGGCCAUUGCUUUAGGUGCAGGCCUUAUGUAGACCAGCUGAUCUUCUGAUGGCAACCCCUUGGAGGUAAGACAGCAGCAAUGGCUGAGUGCCACUAAAUACACCAACAUCCAAGCUGCCAGAGCACCUCUGCUAGGUCUCUCAUUUUCUGCCUUGUCAUGGUGAGAGUGACAGAUCUUGUCCCUUGGGACUUAGCCUGGCCAUGAAGGACAGCAGUGCAGCGAGGCAAAGGAGGAAACAAUGUGAAAACACUGUACAGCUACUAUAAUGCUGCAGGAAUGCACAGAUUAGAUUCUGUGGAGAAAAUGGUGAAUAUCACACAGAUGGAAAAACAGAGCUCUGCCCAAACGAGUUAGAGCAGACCGUCCAUUGGUCUUCCCGGUACUAAUGCACUUCUUCCCAUUUUAAAUUUCUCCUGACACUUGCGUGACUUUCUCUGAAAGUUGGCCAAAGAAUCUUGCCACUUACAUAGAAAGCUGCCUUUAUACUAAGUCAGAGAUCAUUGGUCCAUCUAGCUCAGUAGUAUCUACCCAGCCUGUCAGCAGCUCUCUAGGAUUUCAGACAGGUGCUCUACCACUGAACUGCAGCCCUAAUCCCAUUCUGCACUGUUUCCCAAUUGACUCCAUAACAGGAGUGUAGAUCACAAAGAAUGUUGUAGGAUGAGUUAAAGCUACAUCUCCUCGGCACUAUGCAAAAUAAAAUCUGCAGGGCAAGAUAGAUGGAAAUCAGAGAGUCAGCGACUGAUUCAACAUGAUUUUCCCCCUCCCCCCCCCCAAUAACUAACACUACAGUUUUGAGAAAUGCUUGAUUGAGCAGCACUUCCUAGACUGCACAAUCUUCUGGGAAAUUAAUUGCUUUCUAUCUUUCUAGUUUCUUCUAGAUCUCCUGUAGUGAAUUGUGAUUGGGUGGGAGGACCAUUUCUGUUCCUUUUUGGCCAAAAUGAUUGCUUUAUGUUUGCUUUGCAGGAACAGGUAGUGAGGUAUUUGGACAGCCACCUGCUAGUCUUUCCUUUGUAAAUCUGUUGCAACUUCCUCUAUACUUCCCAGAGAAGAGAACAGAAAAUGAAGGACAGAUGGAUAGCGUGGAAAACAGACAGUUAUCUUUUGGAACUUUGUUUUCAUAACAGCUUUGGUUCAAAUGUGCACUUGAUGCACAAAGAAAAAAAGUGAUGAAACAGUCUGAUGUACUGUGGCAGAGAAAAUACAAAUCUUGUAACUUGCCAAUAGGAUCUUGUGAAUGAAGCUGAGAGAAAAAUGGCUUCUUGCUUGGAUAUUUCACCUGAGAUACUUAUUUAUACAUCUAGCCUUAAAUGUUGAUGUAGGUGGAUCUGCCUAGCUGCAUUAACUCCUGUCAAAAGAUGGAGACGAUGCAGUUUAAAAGAAAGAAAAAAUAAUUUAACUCUUGUCCUAUGUAUAUGUGAAUGAAAGUCAGGUUAGGCACAAAGUAUGAUUUUUAUAACUAUAUAAUGAGAGAUUAGAAAUCAGUAGCUGGUUUGGAAAACAAGAGCUUGAACAGAAUAAAAUAGUAUCAGCUUAAUGGGGGUGGGAAAGGAGAUAAUAGAAAACUAAGAAGAAAAAUCCAUCAACAAAAUAAGGUACACAAUCCAUUUGCUUAAAGGAAAGACUAAUAACGUAACAGAUACAAUUCAGCCUUUAAAAGCUUAGAAGAAAAUGUACUAAUAUUGUUCUGUAGGCUGUUCCCAUAAGGGUGGCUAUUAUAUCACAGGUGAGACACAUUUUUCUCACCUCGCCUGUAUUUAGUUAUUACAAGCACAUUCAUCUAUAUGAGGUAGGCAUGUGUGUGUCUGCCUUCACCUCACUUUCUUCUUUUGCUGCUUUUUCUUUUGUUUACUAUAUAUUCCAGGUACUAGAAAACAACCGUUUCUAUAGAAUCCAGUACACCAUUAUAUUUCCAGUGACAGCUGGUCUACUUGCAACUCACCUUAUUGAACACUAUUACAUUUUGUUAAAAAUUGAUGACCAGUACAAAACAAAAUUAGAUCUGCAGUUAACGUAGAACUGAAGUCAGCAGAAUUGCAAGAGCUGAGCAAUGACCUUCAGUCAUAUUCCAAAUUAAAUAACAAUGAAAUACACAAUGCUCAGCUUGUAAAAAAAAAUGGCUGUCUCUACUAGAGGGACCUUUUAACUGUAGUGGUUCUCUUAUUUCUUUUAGUUAGUUUAGUUUAGGUAGGGGGAUAACAAUUGUUCUUAUUCAUCUUUGCAUAAUGUCCCUUCCAGUAGCUGCUGAUGGGUGUGUGUGAGAGUUGUUAGCCCCUUUGGAACAGGGGACAGUCUUUUAAUUCCUUUUGCUAUGUAAACUGCUUUGAGAACUCUUGUUCAAAAGCCCUAUAUCGAUAGCCUUAAUUAGUAUACUGGCAAAGUUGUGCAAGCAUAGUUCAGCCUGCGAGUAGUUUCAACAUUGCAGCAUUAUAAGCCCUGACCAUUCUAUUGCUUAUAUAAUCAAAACAAUUUAUCCAAUCUGCUUGGCCAUCAGCAUGUAUUCACUAGGUGACAAGAGACACCUAUCCUGCACAUUUGGUGAAGAUCUGUUGAACGAAGGCUUAGAUAGAUCAGUUUAAGGUUUUUCUCUUUUGAACAGGGGUUCAAAGGGCUGGCUAUGUUCUUUCAGGCUGAGGAAGUGGUAUUUAAAUGAUUUUCUAGUCGAUUUCCAUAGUUUCAGCCUUUAGACUGCAUGCCAGAAAAGUGUCUUUUGUUUAUUCCUCUGGGGCCCAAUUGAUGGUUAUUUCACAAUUGAUCCUCAAAGUUGCAUUUUAAGAGGCACCUUUACUGCUAAGAGUCUGUGCAGUAAGACCUUUGAAGCAUUGCAAGCGACCAGUAUGGCAGUCAGCUCCUUCCCUGCCUGAGCCUUGGGAACACAGCCCUUCAAUUUCUUUACCCCACUGUAGUGAUACCUUUUUAAUACUGUUCCUCUGCCUUAGAAAAGGUGCUGUUUAAUAGGGGUGUGCAAUUCGGUGUUUCGGUUCGGACCCGAACCGAAACACCCCUGUUCUGUUCUGUGCCCGAAUUUUGCUCACCCGAAUCACCCCCGAUUUGGUUCGGAUUCGGAUUUACCCGAGAGAGGGGACCGCUAUGUGUGUGAGAGAGAGGGAGGAAGAGAGGCUGCAGUGUGUGUGUGUGUGUGUGUGUGUGAGAGAGAGAGGCUACAGUGUGUGUGUGUGUGUGUGUGAGAGAGAGAGAGAGAGAGAGAGAGAGGUGUGUGUGAGAGGCUGCAGUGUUUGUGAGGUUGCAUUGUGUGUGUGUACUAACUUUGCUACUAACUGAGCAAAGAGACUCCUGUUUAAGUGGUGGUUCUCUUAUAUUUAGGGGGGGGAGCAACUGGCCUUAUCCAAUCCCAGCAUCCCUCCAGUGGCUAUUGCUGAUGGCUACUUUGUUGUUUAGUGUGUGUAUGAGAGGGGGACAGGGAGGGAGGUAGAGAGGGAGAAUGGCUGCUGUGUGUGUGUGUGUGUGUGUGUGUGUGUGUGUGUGAGAGAGAGAGAGAGACAGAGAGAGAGAGAGAGAGAGAGAGAGAGAGAGAGAGAGAGAGAGAGAGAAUACUAACUUUGCUACUAACUGAGCAACAAGACACCUGUUAAAGUGGUGAUUAUCUUAUAUUUAGCAGGAGUAGAGCAACUGGCCUUAUCCCAUCCCAGUACAGCAUCUCUCCAGUGGCUAUUCCUGGUGUCUACCUUUAUGUUUCCUUUUAGAUUCUGAGCCCUUUGGAGAUAGGCAACUAUCUUAUUUAUGUAUUAUUGAUUCACACACAUUUAUGUAUUGUGUAUUAUAAUACACAUUUUUUAAAAAAUUA